rnacentral:piRNA from 2 species
UGGUAUUGUAAUGAAUGGUUCCUUCCUGAGG